GGUAUCUGUUGGUUGGCAGGAGGAGAGGAAGGCCUAUUAAUUAGUGACCUUGAACUGUGGGCGGGUCUAAUAUUCAGCGCUCGGGCGUUAUCUGUUGCCCCUACGUGACUGGAGCUCAAGAUUUUGUUUGCUUGACAAUUUAUGUUCCGACGACGUGAUUAGAGAGACUGACUGGAGAGCACUCAAAGUGGCUAAAUUUAUGCAGGUUCCAGGCAGAGUUGACAUAUAAUUCUCCCUAAAAACAGAUCACCGAAUUUCUUAUCACCUUAGACUCAUGAAUAGUUUCCCCUGAAAAGCCAUAGAUUAUGGCAGUAAUAAGGUUCAAUUUGGGUUUUCCAAAUAAAUCAAAGUGGGUGGCAGCCCUGCUGGCAAGCGUAACAACACUCAUUUAAGCCGAAUCGGCCGGAUGAUUCACUCCAAAGCAAAGCUUUCCCACUGCGCCGAACAAAAGUGAAAGUUUCCCCCAUCUCCCAUGUCCCCCUGCACUGGAAAUUCGCAACUAUAUGGCUGUUGCUGUUGUUGUUGCUGUCAUACAUAAUGAACCGUUGCUUUGUGCAUGCACCGAAGCGAGCAUAAAAGAGCAACAGCUAGAGAGAGAGAGAGAAAAAGCUUAAGUACUGGCUAGACUAGGCUUGAAGAUAUCUUUUAUGUGGUCUCCCUUCGGAAUUUAGUAUCUCUUUUGUAUUGUCAUUGCUAUUGCCAGUGGGCUUAGAUUACAUAUUGACCCAACAAAAACUAUAUACAUACAUAUAUGUAUACCCCAGAGCAAUAGUGCGUAAAAUAUUGUUGCUGGCAAAGCUGGCGCUGUUCCGUUUAGCCAUAAAUUUAAGCGCCAGGCUGCAGCUUUUGUACCAGCUGAGCGGUGACGAUGUCGCUAACGAUUGCGUGAUUGCAGCAAAGCAAUGAAAAUGGCUUUUGUAUUUAAAAUAAAAAACCCAAAAUUAACAUUUCCAGUAACCGGUUGCAGAUUCAGAGCAGAGCCAGAUACAGAGACAGAGGCCCUACGGAGAUCGAAGAGACUCCGCCGACACAACGUGAUUCAUGACGGGACAAAUAAAUGGUCGGCGCUAUACACCCGUAUUUUAGCGCGUGUAUGCUCAUUGUUGACCCUGUACGAGUAUUGGCGAUUUUGUAAUUGGUUUUUCUGCUGUUUGUAUUUUUACUGUACGAGUAUAUUGACGUAUUGUUUGCGUGAUGCGCGCCUGCGCCGCCGCCAUUGAAGCUCUUGCGAUCUGCACCCACUUGUAGUUGAAGUGGGAGACGAGACGGGUUUUUGGGAAAAUCCCAAUUAUUGAACAACAAUUUAUUA